rnacentral:misc_RNA from 1 species
CAACCCUCAAGCUCCGGCUUGGUGUUGGGGAUCGGCAGCCCGGCUUCGCGCCGGACGCCGUCCCCUAAAUGCAGUGGCGGUCACGCUGUAGCUUCCUAUGCGUAGUAGCACACCUCGCACUGGAAAACAGCGCGGCCACGCCGUAAAACCCCCUACUUUUUGU